AACAUACUCCCUUUGUCCAGAAAUUCUUGUCUUAAAUUUGUCUAAAUACAAAUGUAUCAAGUCACGUUUUAGUACUAGAUACAUCCGUAUCUAGACAAAUCUAAGACAAGAAUUUUGGGACGGAGGGAGUAUAUA
rfam:Triticum aestivum genome assembly, contig: Triticum_aestivum_CS42_TGACv1_scaffold_080105_1DS